rnacentral:rRNA from 1 species
CAGACGGGAGGCAGCAGGGAGGAAUAUGGGGCAAUGGGAGGGAGAAGGAAAGAGACAAGGAGAGGGAAGGAAGAAGGCGCCAGGCGUCGUAAACUUCUUUUGUCGGGGAACAAAGGGCGCCACGCGUGGCGUUGUGAGUGUACCCGAAGAAAAAGCAUCGGCUAACUCCGUGCCAGCAGCCGCGGUAAUACGGAGGAUGCGAGCGUUAUCCGGAUUUAUUGGGUUUAAAGGGUGCGUAGGCGGUCCGGAAAGUCAGCGGUAAAAGCCGGGGGCUCAACCCCGGCGAGCCGUUGAAACUGUCGGACUAGAGACGGCGAGAGGUACGCGGAAUGCGCGGUGUAGCGGUGAAAUGCAUAGAUAUCGCGCAGAACUCCGAUUGCGAAGGCAGCGUACCGGCGCCGGACUGACGCUGAGGCACGAAAGCGUGGGUAUCGAACAGGAUUAGAUACCCGAGUAGUC